rnacentral:rRNA from 1 species
CAGCAGUUGUUGUUCGCUAGAACUGAUGUCCACUUGGAUAACUAUGGAAAUGCUAGAGCUAAUACAUGCCUCGAAGCUCAGUCGCGCUCUGCGCGUCGGAGCGCGUUUAUUUGAACAAAACCAAUCGGACGCAGGCUAGCUAUUGGUCUGAGUCCGCGAAAUGUUGGUGAAUCGGAAUAACUAUGCUGAUCGCACGGUCCAGUACCGGCGACGAUGCUUUGAAACGACUUGCUCAUCAACUUUCGAUGGUACGCUACGUGCUUACCAUGGUGACAACGGUUAACGGAGAAUCAGGGUUCGGCUCCGGAGAGGGAGCCUGAGAAACGGCUACC